rnacentral:rRNA from 1 species
CCUCGGGGGGCUGCAGUGGGGAAUAUUGGACAAUGGGCGAAAGCCUGAUCCAGCCAUGCCGCGUGUGUGAAGAAGGCCUUCGGGUUGUAAAGCACUUUCAGUGGGGAAGAAAGCCUUGGGGCUAAUACCCUCGAGGAAGGACAUCACCCACAGAAGAAGCACCGGCUAACUCCGUGCCAGCAGCCGCGGUAAUACGGAGGGUGCGAGCGUUAAUCGGAAUUACUGGGCGUAAAGCGCGCGUAGGCGGUCUGAUAAGCCGGUUGUGAAAGCCCCGGGCUCAACCUGGGAACGGCAUCCGGAACUGUCAGGCUAGAGUGCAGGAGAGGAAGGUAGAAUUCCCGGUGUAGCGGUGAAAUGCGUAGAGAUCGGGAGGAAUACCAGUGGCGAAGGCGGCCUUCUGGACUGACACUGACGCUGAGGUGCGAAAGCGUGGGUAGCAAACAGGAUUAGAUACCCGUGUAUC